rnacentral:rRNA from 1 species
AUACGAAGGUGGCAAGCGUUGUUCGGAUUUACUGGGCGUACAGGGAGCGUAGGCGGUUGGGUAAGCCCUCCGUGAAAUCUCCGGGCCUAACCCGGAAAGUGCGGAGGGGACUGCUCAGCUAGAGGAUGGGAGAGGAGCGCGGAAUUCCCGGUGUAGCGGUGGAAUGCGUAGAGAUCGGGAGGAAGGCCGGUGGCGAAGGCGGCGCUCUGGAACAUUUCUGACGCUGAGGCUCGAAAGCGUGGGGAGCAAACAGGAUUAGAUACCCUGGUAGUCCACGCCUUAAACGAUGGAUACUAAGUGUCGGCGGGUUACCGCCGGUGCCGCAGCUAACGCAGUAAGUAUCCCGCCUGGGAAGUACGGCCGCAAGGUUGAA